GCCAGCCCGCUCAGAACUUAAAGGAAUUGACGGGGCCCGGCACAAGCGGUGGAGUAUGUGGUUUAAUCGAUGCAACGCGAAGAACCUUACCUGGUCUUGACAUCCCGGAGACCCUUAGGAAACUAGGGGGUGCUUCCAUCUGGAAGAAUCUGGAGACAGGUGCUGCAUGGCUGUCGUCAGCUCGUGUCGUGAGAUGUUGGGUUAAGUCCCGCAACGAGCGCAACCCUUGCCUUUAGUUGCCAGCAGUUCGGCUGGGCACUCUAAAGGGACUGCCGGUGUUAAACCGGAGGAAGGUGGGGAUGACGUCAAGUCCUCAUGGCCUUUAUGACCAGGGCUACACACGUACUACAAUGGCCGAUACAAAGGGCAGCGACACUGCGAGGUGAAGCCAAUCCCGUAAAAUCGGUCUCAGUCCGGAUUGGAGCCUGCAACUCGACUCCAUGAAGUUGGAAUCGCUAGUAAUCGUGGAUCAGCAUGCCACGGUGAAUACGUUCCCGGGCCUU
rnacentral:rRNA from 1 species